rnacentral:lncRNA from 1 species
AAGGGCUCAGGCCCCUGGGGUAUGGAUCUACAGUGUUGGAGUGAUGCUAUUGACCACUUCGUAACAAAAAGCAUCAAAAACGAUCCAAUGAAAAGAAAGAAUGUCGGAAGAAGCAAGUAGUUAAGAAUCGUGGACGAACCUGCAGCCACAGUAGUGCUUGUUUUAUGAACAUAAGUUACAAUAAUGCUUAUUCAGUUAUAACAUAUUUUUUAAUGUUUAUUCAAGUAUAACAUAUUUUGUAAUGUUAAACAGAUUUUGUAUAGACUUGAAGCAUUUCAUCGUGGGCAUGUGAAUAAAAAAGGGGAAUUUGUUGAUCCUUUGGUUGAAGACCAAUAUGUAAGUUAUUGUUACUUAAAAAUGAAGUAGAUUGUUUUUUUUUUGUUGAUUUUAACGUAUAUUGACAAUAUUUGUGAAAUACAUAAUGCCUUAGUUGUUGAGGUUGCUUUACAGACUCAUCACAUAGCGACUCUGGUGGUGAUCCAGACUCCAUUGAUUGGAUCGCAAUAUUUGAGAAGGUGUUAGGUGCUCAAAGGGGGCAUGUGAGAGGCAUUAGGCUUAAACCUCCUUCUACAACGGAUACAAGUGUUCCAUCCCAAUGGCAGUCACAAUCACAAGUACCACAAUCAACACAGGUACUUGUUAAAUUCUUAAAGAAUUUGGUAGUUUUGCUAUAUUGUUAAGAACUUGAUGCAUUUAUAGUAAUUUUUUGUGGUUUAUUAAAUUGUUAAAGACUUAAUUGAUUUGGAGGUUUAAUAGUUUGUUAAAUUGUUAACGACGUAAUUCAUUUGGCGGUUUGAUAGUUUGAUAGUUUGUUAAAUUUUUAAUGACUUAAUGUGCUUGUGACUUAAUUGUAGGAUGUUGAUGUGAAUGUUUUUCUUCAAAACCCGGCGUUUGUGACGACAAUUGGAGAUAUUAUCCGCUUGUUUAUAAACAAAGUCAACAACGAG